UGUUCAUUAACACUGCGUUGUCACUUGUGUUAAUUUUUGUUAGUGUUUCCUUCUAGUUGUUUCCCAAGCAUUCCUUUUUGGCUAAAUUAUUUGUUUAUCUGUAUAAAGCUAAGAGGAUUUGUUUCUUGGUGUAGAUUUUUUAGCAGGUCUUCCUAAUAUGGGAAGGAAAUUAAUAGUGAAUUUUUAAAGUAAAGCCAUAUUUUAAUGUGUGACUUCUUUAAUCAAUAGAUCUUAUAAAUAUUGAUGAGGCAGUGUGUUAAAAUAGUCUUAUUUACUUAUUUUUAAUUAAUCUAAUUUUUGUUGGAAAAGAAUUGCAUACACAUAAUUUAAAAAAUUAAAAUAAAAAGAACCUUAAAAUGAAAAGAUGUCUCCCUCCUCUUCCCACUUCUCGCCUCUCCUCCCCGGCCCCUAACUCAUUGCCCAGAAAUCCCCUGUUAAUAGUUUUUAGUUUAGUUUUAUAGCAUAUUUCUUCAAGUUUUAUCAAAUUUAUACAGAAUCUAUUGAUAUUCUACUAUGAGAGACUAAGAAGUUAUCAUGAUCUAACUACCCUUCCACCUCUGGAUUAUAUUGUUUAUAUUUGUAUUUUCUAGUCGUUGCCUUAUUUACUCUAAAUAGCACAUAUAAAUGUUUAAUUCUUGAUUUAGUAAAUUUACUAUGGACUCAGUAUCCACAAUGAAAGGCGAGAACACUACCCUUCUCUUCUCUGUAGCUACCUCCCCAUUUUUCUCAGCUACAUUAAUAUUGUCUGAAAAAUACUGUCUGAUCUUAAUUUAAGUUUCCCCUUUUCCAUUUCUCCAUUCAAGCAAUAACAGGCUGUGAAUUUUCUCGCCUCAGGAGAGGUACAGGACAGGCAGGAGGGCAGAGUCAGCCUGCCAAACUUUUACCUGUUUUUGUGGCCCACACACCUGAGCUAAGCGAGGAUCACACGACGUUCAGGAGGACGCAGGGGCCCUGGAGGAGCAGGGGCAGGAGAGGCUCCCCCGUCGGAGGUCCACGAGGGCCGGAGCUGUGCUGAGAAUCUACGCGGGAAGCAAACACCGCUCCAUGGUGGAGCCCGAGGAGGGUUGCCACCAUUAUGUGCAAUCUGAUGCCUUGGUUUCCUAUUUCUGGGCUGAAGAACUUCCUCAAGUAAUUGUUUUCACACAGGGAGCCUGAAUGGCCCAAAUACUCUCACGAGGAAGCAUCUUGAGGGAACUCCACUGAUGGGUGCCCCACAGCCAGCUCCUCCCUUCGAAUUCGCGAUGCUGAGCCUGGAGCUUAUCUGAGGCUUCCUAGAAAGAACUUGGCUUGCCGUUGGUGUCCUGAGAUGCAAUUUCUUCUCUUGAUUUUUUCAGGAAAUUUCAACCCAUUUUCUUUCUAUUUUCUAGGUAGUCCUCAAAAUUUCUGGCACACUGACCGUACUCUAAUCGUUUUUUUUUUUUGAGGAAGAUUAGCCCUGAGCUAACAUCUGCUGCCAAUCUUCCUCUUUUUGCUGAGGAAGCCUGGCCCUGAGCUAACACCCAUGCCCAUCUUCCUCUGCUUUAUAUGUGGGACGCCUACCACAGCAUAACUUGCCAAGUGGUGCCAUGUCUGCAGCCUGGAUCUCAACCGACGAACCCCAGGCCCCUGAAGCGGAACAUGUUCAUUUAACCGCUGUGCAACUGGGCCAGCCCCUCUCUAAUCAUUUUCUACUGAUAUAGUUCUGUGCUUUUAAAAAAUAUCUGUCUUUG
rnacentral:lncRNA from 1 species